rnacentral:rRNA from 1 species
GAUGAACGCUGGCGGCGUGCCUAAUACAUGCAAGUCGAGCGAACGUACGAUAAUCUUUCUUCUCAGAUGUUAGCGGCUGACGUGUGAGUAACACUUGUAUAACCUACCUAUAAUACUUGUAUAACUUCUUGAAACCUUAUCUAAUCCCGUAUAAUAUUUUGAACCUCAUUGUUCAAAAGUUAAAUACGUUCUUGCUGUCACUUAUAUAUGUUUCCCCGCUUCAUUAGCUAUUUGGUAAGGUAACGGCUUACCAAGGCAACGAUGCAUAGCCGACCUGAGAGGGUGAUCGGCAACACGGGAACUGAGAAACGGUACAGAGUAAUAAGGGAGGAAGCAGUAGGGAAUGUUCCGAAAUGGGCGAAAGGAUGACGGAGCAAAGCCGCGUGAGUGAUGAAGGUCUUCGGAUCGUAAAACUAUGUUAUUAGGGAAGAAAAUAUGUGUAAGUAAAUGUGAACAUCGUGACGGUAACUAAUCAGAAAGCAACGGCUAACUACGUG